CCAAGGAACAUUCAACGCUGUCGGUGAGUUUGGGAUUUAAAAAAACCACUGACCGUUGACUGUACCUUGG
ensembl:miRNA MIR181A2 microRNA 181a-2